CCACUGUAGGCGCUAUUCACGCCGGUUCUAUGAAUAGGAAAAACUUUCUCCUAAUCUAACCAACACCGCGGAAGAUCCUCUCCAGCUGACCCGAUAUUAGCGCCAGAUCCAGUCAAUCGCUCGCCGCCGGCCGUCCUCUCGUGAGUGGCACAAGUAUUUGGUGCUUAGCAUUUGACUGAUCUCCUGGACAGAUGUGCAAAGAAACCACCUGACGGCUUGAUCAUGGAAACAAACAUGGACAUGGAAAACUAUGCGGGUUGAUCAUGGGAGACACACACACAAUCUGAAGUCCGAUAUGAAAUCCUCCUCGGCUGCAGGCGCACACUGUCGUCAGUGUGGAAGGCGUCAUGCUGUUGUGGAGAGCGUCAAGGUUAGCUUCAAAGUAAUCAAGCAAGAAGGAGUGGUUCAAGGGCUUCAGCGAGAUUGAUUCAUUGCCUUGCAUGUAGUUAUCCACUAAUUUAUCCUCUUUAAGAACAAUAUAUGUUGAAGAGUUGAAACGGUUUCUUUUGUAUUUCUGUUUGAUCCUACAGAAGUGGGGCCUGCAAAUCGGUUGCUUAGAUCUUCUAUUAACUCAGUGUUAGGUGAUAGUUCCGAUAUUUGUGUUCCACUUCCACAGAAAAUAAGGAGAAACAUCCAGCGCCAAAGAAUACAAUUAGAGUUUCAAUUGCGGCAGCAGGGGUGUUGAGACUUCAGAGUAACCGGGUGUGCUCCCAUGUGGCACCAGGUCAUGAAACUUCUCACGGAUGCAUUGUAGGCAAAGACAGCAGAGGGCUCUUGCUUGCUUCCGGCAGGAACGAUCUGAUUGGUGUCACACAAUCUGCAACUGCGUAUAUGGUGAAUACGUAUCUUCUAAGGAUUCACGAUCGAGAAGCGAGGUUGCUCGAUUGAUUUCUUACAUAAGCAUAACCAUGCAAAAUUAGUGCAAGUUGUUUAAAUUAAAAAACAGAACAGAUUUAAUAAUUGUUUCAUUUUUCAGAUGCUUAAGAAAAUAGCUAUUAGUACACAAAAGUUUAUUUCUAAUGUUCCAUCUAUAAUCUUUUCUUUUUGUUUUGAAGUAGUUCUACGUGGUAAUUUAUUCUAAAAGAUACAAGCAAACUUAUGUGCCAUUACAGAGGGGCAUCCAACUAAAAUAAUUAGUUUAAAUGUGAGGCAUUUUAAAUUCAUUCUGAAAGAUACGACCAAACCAGUAUCAAUGAUUCUACUGCAGUACUAUUCGAGUAGAUAGUUUAUGCCACUAUCAAUGAUUCUACUACUGUGUUGUUCAAGCACAUGGGUGACAGGGUCAUGAUUUCUUACCUCCAUUAUUACUGAACAUGUAAUGUGGUUUUGCUAAAUCUUUAUAUCAUUCCGUAUGUGAGAUGUGUGUGCAAGACAUCGACUGGUAGUAGCAUAGCUGAAAAUAUAUAGAUCCAGGAUACAAGGCAUGGUAUAUCGAAAUUAAAAAGUGAUCCAUGACAGAUGGCAUAUGCACUCUGCUCUUGGCCUCUUAGUCGACACAGAGAAUGUAGAUGUAAUAAGGUAGUACAUGCCGAAACCACAAGGGCUUCAACCUUGACGUAGACAUUGAAUACAUGGUUGUGACAUGCAAAAGUUAAUGCUUGCAUCCAAAUAUUUUGUCACAUGGUGGUCUUCUUAGAACCACAAUCUCAUUAUUCCUUUGGAUUUGAGCUGAACUCACCAAGGAAUUUCUGAUUUGCUACUUUCAAUUCUCAUUUUUUUUCCUCUCUGUAUAUUUAAUCAACUGCAAAGGGUUAACAGAUUAUAUUGGAUUGUACUUGGUCACUUGGAAUGAGAUUUAAGUUAGACAUUCUUGUGCCCAUCGGGUAUUCCUAUAAAGCAAUGCCGCUGUGGUGUGACAAACAAAAAUUAGAUGUCUCCUGGUGUUGGCAACAAAUCCGCUUGCAGGUUAAAGAUUCAUCUUCCCAUAAAUUCCUUUUCUACCACUUUUUAAGUUUGGAAGGUAAAUAUGCGAGAUGUGACAUUAUGAACCUUUAUUGUUGCUGCCGCGUAAGUUAUAUAAUUAACAAGUGUUGACCUUGAUUUGUUUUCUUCCUUCUCCCCAAUUCAAUACUUCUCUAAUUUUAUUUCUUUGUGGAAAUUGUAUGUGAACCAACAACAUGUGAUAUGAUUUGAUUGUUGAUUUCAUUUGGCAUGCUAAGCACAUGAUAAAGAGGUUACUAUGUUUCUUCACAUGAUAAAGUGGUAACUAUGUUUCUUUACAUGACAAAGAGGUUACUAUAGUUGUCUCUCCCAAGAGUUUACAUGGAUUUCGAUUCACCAAGAUAUAAUAGAACAUGAAGACAUAGACUAAAUUUCUUGCGGCAGUAUAUAUGAAGUCUUCUAUGCAUGGUAGCAAAAAUGAAUUCUUUUACCUCCUUACCAUAUUAGUUUUUGCUCAAACGGAUGUAUCUAGCACUGAAAUACAUAUAUAUACAUCCAUCUCAGUGACAACUAAUAUGGGACAGAGACUUGCUAACAAGUAUCUCUUUCAAGAUAUAUUUGAGAGGAAAAUAGUAUGCAGCACAUUUUAUGCAAAUGUAACAUACAAAUUUGAUGUAGUAAUUUAACUUAUAAUUCAAGGAAGGAGUUUGUAAAUGCAUAAGCAACAACUGAAUCACACAAUAUGGUUGAUAAGCGCUAAACAUGUGUAUUUGACCAUUACUUGGUGCUAAACAUGUGUAUUUGAUGUAGCUAUUUGUCCUGAAAAAUAGGACAUUUUAGAAUCUAGCAUGGUGCUAAACAUGUCUAUUUGACCACUACUUGGUGCAUACAAUUAUUAGUGGAAAUUAUCUUCAUGAAAAUUUAAUGGUACAUAAAAACUUAAAAUAGACAUGUGCAUAAACUGACACACUGAGUUUGGUCCACAACCCGGAAUAUGAUUAGAGAUCAGAAGUUUUUUUCUUCGCAGAUAUAGAACAUAACCCAUGCAUAGACAAUCUAACUCCGAACUACUUUGAUAGUAAUAACUAUAAAUAUAUUUUCUUAAUAUUUAUACCAAAUAGGUAUUUAUUACACUAGCCCGUGCAAUUGCACGGGUUGACGUCGAGUAUUUAUAAUUAUCCUCACUAUAUUUUGCAGAUUGAAGAUCGUUGAAUUGAAGAAACGACAAAUCGGUGAUAUUGGGUUCAUUAACACAAAUAUCAUAGAUGCAACUCAGGUUAAA